UACGUAGGGUGCGAGCGUUGUCCGGAAUUAUUGGGCGUAAAGAGCUCGUAGGCGGUCUGUCACGUCGGACGUGAAAAUCCAGGGCUCAACCCUGGACCUGCGUUCAAUACGGCAGACGUAGAGUUCGUAGGGGAGACGUGGAAUUCCUGGUGUAGCGGUGAAAUGCGCAGAUAUCAGGAGGAACACCGGUGGCGAAGGCGGGUCUCUGGGCCGAAACUGACGCUGAGGAGCGAAAGCGUGGGAGCAAACAGG
rnacentral:rRNA from 1 species